UAGGGAAUCUUCCACAAUGGGCGCAAGCCUGAUGGAGCAACGCCGCGUGAGUGAGGAAGGCUUUCGGGUCGUAAAGCUCUGUUGCCAGGGAAGAAUAAGGAUGUGUUAACUGCACAUUCGAUGACGGUACCUGAGAAGAAAGCCCCGGCUAACUACGUGCCAGCAGCCGCGGUAAUACGUAGGGGGCAAGCGUUGUCCGGAAUUAUUGGGCGUAAAGCGCGCGCAGGCGGUCUUUUAAGUCUGGUGUCUAAGUGCGGGGCUCAACCCCGUGAUGCACUGGAAACUGGGAGACUUGAGUGCAGAAGAGGAGAGCGGAAUUCCACGUGUAGCGGUGAAAUGCGUAGAGAUGUGGAGGAACACCAGUGGCGAAGGCGGCUCUCUGGACUGUAACUGACGCUGAGGCGCGAAAGCGUGGGGAGCAAACA
rnacentral:rRNA from 1 species